AAAAGUAAGAUUAGUAUUAGUUUUGGUGCUGCUGACUAAAAUCGUUAAGUAAUGAACUUAUCUAGAAAAAAGAUUGUUGGGUAAUGAACUUUUUAAUUUUUAAUGUGGAACCUUUGUAUAUGUGUGGACUCACUCCUUGAUAAUAUUAUCUACAUAUAUAUUUUGCAGUAAAGAGAUCAUGGAUGAACUUGAUCUUAUCAAACAAGAGACUAUGGAUGAACUUGAUGAAAGCCUUAAUCAACAUGAGAAUGAGGUAGUACCAGAGGACUUACUCCUUGAGGUGAAAGAAGAACCAUCACUCCUUGAGGUGAACCUAGAGCAAGAGCAAGAGCAAGGGCAAGAGCAAGAGCAAGAGCAAGAGCAAGAGCAAGAGCAAGAGCAAGAGCAAGAGCAAGAGCAAGAGCAAGAGCAAGAGCAAGAGCAAGACCAAGACCAAGAGCAAGAGCAAGACCAAGAGCAAGAGCAAGACCAAGACCAAGAGCAAGAGCAAGACCAAGAGCAAGAGCAAGACCAAGACCAAGAGCAAGAGCAAGACCAAGAGCAAGAGCAAGACCAAGACCAAGAGCAAGAGCAAGACCAAGAGCAAGAGCAAGACCAAGACCAAGAGCAAGAGCAAGACCAAGAGCAAGAGCAAGACCAAGACCAAGAGCAAGAGCAAGACCAAGAGCAAGAGCAAGACCAAGACCAAGAGCAAGAGCAAGACCAAGAGCAAGAGCAAGACCAAGACCAAGAGCAAGAGCAAGACCAAGAGCAAGAGCAAGACCAAGACCAAGAGCAAGAGCAAGACCAAGAGCAAGAGCAAGACCAAGACCAAGAGCAAGAGCAAGACCAAGAGCAAGAGCAAGACCAAGACCAAGAGCAAGAGCAAGACCAAGACCAAGAGCAAGAGCAAGACCAAGACCAAGAGCAAGAGCAAGACCAAGACCAAGAGCAAGAGCAAGACCAAGACCAAGAGCAAGAGCAAGACCAAGACCAAGAGCAAGAGCAAGACCAAGACCAAGAGCAAGAGCAAGACCAAGACCAAGAGCAAGAGCAAGACCAAGACCAAGAGCAAGAGCAAGACCAAGACCAAGAGCAAGAGCAAGACCAAGACCAAGAGCAAGAGCAAGACCAAGACCAAGAGCAAGAGCAAGACCAAGACCAAGAGCAAGAGCAAGACCAAGACCAAGAGCAAGAGCAAGACCAAGACCAAGAGCAAGAGCAAGACCAAGACCAAGAGCAAGAGCAAGAGCAAGAGCAAGAGCAAGAGCAAGACCAAGACCAAGAGCAAGAGCAAGACCAAGAGCAAGAGCAAGACCAAGACCAAGACCAAGACCAGGAUCAAGAACAGGAACAAGUGCAGAAACAAAAACAAGAACAAGGUGUUGCUGCUACUGGAGGUGGUGGCGAAAGGUGGCCAGGGUGGCCUGGGGAAAGUGUAUUUCGUAUAUUGGUCCCUUCACAAAAAGUAGGAAGCCUUAUUGGACGCAAAGGAGAGUACAUCAAAAAGAUUGUUGAAGAAUCAAAAGCUCGUAUUAAGGUUCUCGAUGGUCCUCCAGGGAUUACUGAGAGAGCAGUAAGUCCCACCUAUUUUACAUAUUCUUGUAGACAAGAUACCUCUCAAAAUCCACUGCGUUUUGUUCUGUGACUUUUGUUGCCUUGCUUUAUAAUCCAUGUUUUUCCUUUUCUACCUAAAAAACUUUGUAUUGUUCCCCACCUCCAAUUUUUUUUUAAAAAUAGAAUGGGAAAAAUACACUUCCAGAACAGAUAAAAAGACUGGUUCAAAGGGUUCUGAAAAGUUUUCUCUUGCUGUUAUUUGUCUUCCUUCCCAUCUUGUUCCCUUCCUCUCUUGUCGUUGUCAAGGUAUGAUACUUCCUGGUGAAAUUAACUUUGGAUGGAUGUGAACCUGUCUAACUAAUAUUUCCCUAUCAAUGCUGCUUGUGUAGUUGGUCACCGUUUGUAAGUAUCUAUAAGUUGAGUUGUAAAAUAGGUGACUGCUAUUGGGUUUGAGAGUGAAAUGGGGAC
rnacentral:lncRNA from 1 species